rnacentral:rRNA from 1 species
CCAUGCCGCGUGCAGGAAGACAGCUUUCUGAGUUGUAAACUGNUUUUAUAUAGGAACAAAUAGGCCAUGCGUGGCAAGUUGCGUGUACUAUAUGAAUAAGCACCGGCUAACUCCGUGCCAGCAGCCGCGGUAAUACGGAAGGUGCAAGCGUUGUCCGGAUUUAUUGGGUUUAAAGGGUGCGUAGGUGGCGUGUUAAGUCAGUGGUGAAAUCCUGCAGCUCAACUGUAGAUGUGCCAUUGAUACUGACAUGCUUGAGUAUGGACGAGGUAGGCGGAAUUUGUGGUGUAGCGGUGAAAUGCAUAGAUACCACAAAGAACACCAAUAGCGAAGGCAGCUUACUGGACCAUAACUGACACUGAGGCACGAAAGCGUGGGGAGCGAACAGGAUUAGAUACCCUGGUAGUCCACGCCGUAAACGAUGCUCACUCGAUGUAUGCGAUAUAUUGUAUGCGUCCAAGCGAAAGC